rnacentral:rRNA from 1 species
GUGGAUGCCCUGGCAGUCAGAGGCGAUGAAGGACGUGCUAAUCUGCGAUAAGCGUCGGUAAGGUGAUAUGAACCGUUAUAACCGGCGAUUUCCGAAUGGGGAAACCCAGUGUGUUUCGACACACUAUCAUUAACUGAAUCCAUAGGUUAAUGAGGCGAACCGGGGGAACUGAAACAUCUAAGUACCCCGAGGAAAAGAAAUCAACCGAGAUUCCCCCAGUAGCGGCGAGCGAACGGGGAGCAGCCCAGAGCCUGAAUCAGUGUGUGUGUUAGUGGAAGCGUCUGGAAAGGCGCGCGAUACAGGGUGACAGCCCCGUACACAAAAAUGCACAUGCUGUGAGCUCGAUGAGUAGGGCGGGACACGUGGUAUCCUGUCUGAAUAUGGGGGGACCAUCCUCCAAGGCUAAAUACUCCUGACUGACCGAUAGUGAACCAGUACCGUGAGGGAAAGGCGAAAAGAACCCCGGCGAGGGGAGUGAAAAAGAACCUGAAACCGUGUACGUACAAGCAGUGGGAGCACGCUUAGGCGUGUGACUGCGUACCUUUUGUA